UACGGAGGGAGCUAGCGUUGUUCGGAAUUACUGGGCGUAAAGCGCACGUAGGCGGCUCAGCAAGUCAGGGGUGAAAUCCCGGGGCUCAACCCCGGAACUGCCCUUGAAACUGCUAAGCUAGAAUCUUGGAGAGGCGAGUGGAAUUCCGAGUGUAGAGGUGAAAUUCGUAGAUAUUCGGAAGAACACCAGUGGCGAAGGCGACUCACUGGCCCGAUACUGACGCUGAGGUGCGAAAGCGUGGGGAGCAAACAGG
rnacentral:rRNA from 1 species